rnacentral:rRNA from 1 species
UGAGUUUGAUCCUGGCUCAGGAUGAACGCUGCGGCGUGCCUAAUACAUGCAAGUCGAGCGAACAGAUAAGGAGCUUGCUCCUUUGACGUUAGCGGCGGACGGGUGAGUAUCACGUGGGUAACCUACCCAUAAGACUGGAAUAACUCCGGGAAACCGGGGCUAAUGCCGGAUAAUAUUUAGAACCGCAUGGUUCUAAAGUGAAAGAUGGCCUUGCUAUCACUUAUGGAUGGACCCGCGCCGUAUUAGCUAGUUGGUAAGGUAACGGCUUACCAAGGCAACGAUACGUAGCCGACCUGAGAGGGUGAUCGGCCACACUGGAACUGAGACACGGUCCAGACUCCUACGGGAGGCAGCAGUAGGGAAUCUUCCGCAAUGGGCGAAAGCCUGACGACCCGCCGCGUGAGUGAUGAAGGUCUUCGGAUCGUAAAGCUCUGUUAUUAGGGAAGAACAAAUGCGUAAGUAACUGUGCGCGUCUUGACGGUACCUAAUCAGAAGCCUCGGAAGGGGUUAAAAA